ensembl:lncRNA
CCCGGACAUUUGGCCCAGCACCUCCUUGGCAUGGAGGCCCCGAGCGCCACCUGCUGGUCGGUCCGGGACCAGCCAGUGUCCGGAAGACGCCCUCAGGUCCUGGCUGAGUUGGAGAGGAGACAGGGCUCAGAGCUGGCUCUGGGAAGCUGAGUCAGGGAGCCCCCUAGUACUGCAGGGGGGGGGGGCAGGGCCGGUGGCGCCCAGAGCGGCGGUCUCCUCAGAGCGGUGCACGAGUCCUGCAUCUGGGUGGUCAGAGGUGGAAACCAUGGAGAGUCUGGCCAGGGACCCCAGAGGGCAGAGGGAGGGAGGGAGGGGAGGCCCAGAACUCAGAGGGCGCCAUCUGAGUGAAGGAUGCUGGCAGCAGCAAUGGCCGAGAGGAUGAGUGCUGGACUUGGACGGGAGGAGGGUGCUGGGCAGGGACGGGAGGAGGGUGCUGGGCAGGGACGGGAAGGUUGAGAUAGAUGAGAAGGUGGCUGGUGGAUGGGAGGGUCUGCACUGGACCCUGAGAAUGCCCUCAAAGCGUCCAUUCCAUUAUUGUUCCGUAAGAAAUGACCAGCAGGAUGAAUACAGAGACGCUUGGAGAGACUGACAGGAACUGAUGCUGAGUGAAAUGAGCAGGACCAGGAGAUCAUUAUAUACCUCAACAACGAUACUGUAUGAGGAUGGAUUCUGAUGGAAGUGGAUUUCUUCGACAAAGCGAUCUAACUCAUCUGAUCAAUAAUGGCCAGAAGCAGCUACACCCAAAGAACUCUGGGAAAUGAGUGUAGAUUGCUUACAUUGUUUUUCUUCCCGGGUAACUGUUCGGUUCUGCACACAGAUAUUGUAUCCAGGAUACACUGUGACAUAUUUAACAUGUAUAGGACUGCUUGCCAUCUAGGGGAGAGGGUGGAGGGAGGGAGGGGAAAAAUCGGAACAGAAGUAAGUGCAAGGGAUAAUGUAAAAAACUACCCAGGUAUGGGCUCUGUCAAUAAAAAGUUACAACAAUUUUAAAAAGCACGUCCAUUCCCCCUUUGCUGCAAAGCCUUCCUGGAGCCCACGGUUUGAGAGCCAGAGUUCCUACUGCGGAUCGGGCCCAAGGAGGCUGCGCCCCAGGUUAGCCCAUCGUGUUGUUGGGGUGCAGAAAAGUGCGGCAGCUCGCGCUGGGGGGCUGACUCCUGGCUCAGCAAUGGUGAAUAUAAAAAACUCAGAAGAAAGAGGAAGAAAUCUGGUCCUGAGGAAGUGACCUGGCCGGCGGGAGCACAAUCACCAAGGCCGUGGAGCUACGGCCUGUCAGGAACCGGGGCGUGUGGCGAAGCGGAUUUCUGUCGGGAGAGGAUUUCUGUGGGGAGCCGCGGGCGGGGAUUUCGGGGGGCCGGAGAGAGCGGAGCUGAUCGGAGGGAGGUGAGCAGCCCCAGGGGAUCGUGGUCCUCGGCAAGACUACACCACCGCGGAUUCCGAGGGCCGGGCCCUCCUCCAGGAUGAGGCGAUUCACGCCAGUUCCGCUUGUUCAGAGCCCGAGAGAGCCGUCUACACCGGAGAGAGGCCGUGGGAGCUGAGCGGGGAGCACAGCGCAGCCUCCCCCUCUCCUUGUCGUUUGCGUUUUAUUUUCUUAUUUUCUUUCUUUUUGAUCCGAUUUUUUCCUUCCUCCCCCCCUUCCUUUUUCUUUUUUGAAGCUUUUUGUUUUCACAACCCACGUCCGGCUGGUUUGACGGGGGGCGCGAGGGUCAGCGCGGCCUCGGGUUCCAGAUUUCUCCCCCCCUCCCCCCACGGCGGGCAGUCCGGCACCCGUUACAGUGGCAGAAUCUUUGUCAAACCCUAAAUGCGCGAACUGUGUGAAAGGCUUUGGCCGCGCCAGGGAAGCCAGGCCAGAAAGGGAAACCGCGAGCGCGAACCACGCGUGCGCCCCCUCUCCGCACGGGAUGGGAGGGGGGCGUCUCGCAGCGAGACCCUCGUGGAAGCGGGAAGCGGGAGGGAGCGGCGAGUGUGACCUCGAUGGGAUCACCUGCCGCCGGGGAGGGGGAGGGGGAGGGGAAGGAGAGGGGAGGGGAGGGGGGAACCCCGGCUCUCCCAGGGCGAGCGCUGACUGUCCUCCGCGCUCGCGGGUUUGGGAAAUACUACAGACUGAACUGGGAGAGGAGCUGGAGGCAGGAUCUCGGUGACAGGGGAGCGAGCGGCCGGGAGAAGGGAGAACUCGCCCCCCCCCCUCCGGCAGGCGGGGCCGACGGGCACAGGACGGGGCGCCCCAGUACAGAACCGCCUCCAGAGUCUCCCAUCUCUCUGUGGAUGUGAGAUGAGACUGCCCCCCUCCUUUCUUUCAGGGAUCCCCUGUUGCGGAAGGGAGGAGAUACCGGGGAACAAAGAAGGGACUCCAGGGACAUUUUAGGGGGCGAGCCUCGGGGACAGACCGACGGCCUCCAGGACAGCCUUGGGGCAGGCCUAGGGGGGGGCAGCGUCUGCGCCCCGGGGAUGCUGGGAGCAGCGGGGGAGACCAGGGCCUUGCAAAGUGGGGGCCUGGCCCCCUCUCGGGCUUCAAAUCGCUCUGGCGGCCUGAAUGUCCAUGUGCCCCCCGGCCCACACGGCUGGAAUCCACUGCGUCCUCAAGCAGCCAGGCUCGUGGGGGCCCCGCAGCAGCCAGCAUCACUGGGCCCCCCCCCCCCAGCAGCCAGGCUCCGAGGGCCUUCCUGCUUGCCUGUGUCCACGCCCCCAGCCUUCACACUGACUCCCAGCUCCUCCCCCAGGGGCUGCAGCCCCUCCUCGUGCCCCGCCCCUGCCCGCCCACCUCUGGGGCCCGUCCCCAGAACUGAGCACUCCCUGCCCCCCCCAUCAGCAUCAGCGUACUUGUGAAGGGAGGGAGGGAGGAGGGGCAGAGGUGGCCCGGGCUCGGCCGGGGUCAGAGACCCUCCCCAAGGCUUGCCAUGUGGGAGACGCGCCCUGCCGGCUGCUAAGGGCCUGCUCACCUCUACUCCCUGUGCCUCAGUCUCUCCUUCUGCAAAACGGGGUGAUGUCACAGCCCCUCCCUCCCAGGCUGGUCGGGACUCUGCGAGGUCAGCCCUGAUCUCCCUCUGCUACUCAGGAGCAGACACUGAAGGCGGUCGCUGGGCCCGGCCUGUGCUCGGGCCCUUGUCAGUGUCCUCGAAGGCCAGCUCAGCCACUGCAGCCACGCUGGGUGCGCCCCAAAGAGACCUCCCCGGCCAGAACUCGGGGCGAAUCAGAGAUGGCUUUUAAUAGCAAUAAAUGUGGAAUCAAACAAAUUAAGUAGCAGAGAGGGCUACGGAGGGAGAGCAGUCUGUCUGAAAGAGAUCUAGGGGUCUGAGAGGACCACAUCUCGGGGAGUGCCGGGAGGGGGAAGGGGCAGCCAAAAAGGAGGCCCGGUUCCCACAGCAGAGUGGUGAUCCCCCCGUGUCUGCUUCCCUGGGGCCACGGGGUUCACUUCUGGGGUGAGAGCUGAAGGGUGAUCGCAGGGGGAAGGGUCUUCAAGCCAGGCUGCCGGCCUCAGCUGGAACACAGGUGAAGACCCCCUGCCCCUCCCCGCGCCAGGCCCUCUGGCAAAGGUUGGGUGGUGUCUCAGCUGGGGUCGAGGAAGGCGUCCCGCCCUGGAAUCAGGGGCACAGCAAGGCUGCAGAGGAGCCGUUCCCCAGGCCCUUGUUCCAGGGGCUGAAGCCCAGGCCUGGGCUGGCCGUACAAGCCAAGAACAAGGUGGCGUGCCGCCUUAUGGGGGCGGGUCCUGACACCGGCCCUGCCGGAGUUCCAAGCUGGCGCCCGCUCCUGCCCACACCCUGGGCCGCUCUCCAAAGACCGGGCGACUUUGUGCAACCGAGCUCCUCCCAGGGCCAGCGCCAGGGGCUGGGGGACCCACUCCAGCCCGGGCCAUCUCCCCAUGCCAGGAAUCAGGCCCGAGGUGAUGGCACCGGGGGUCACGGUCCAAGAGCUAACUAAGCCGGGGCUGAUGGUCCAGGAGGUGACAGAGCCGGGACUGAUGGUCCAGGAGGUGACGGAGCCGGGGCUGACGGUCCAGGAGGUGACAGAGCCGGGACUGAUGGUCCAGGAGGUGACGGAGCCGGGGCUGACGGUCCAGGCAGUGAUGGCCCCAGUGCUGAUAGUCCAGGAGGUGACGGAGCUAGGGCUGAAGGUCCAGGAGGUGAUGGAGCCAGAGCUGAUGGUCUAGGAGGAGACAGAGCCAGGACUUGACGGUCCAGGAGGUGACAGAGCCGGGACUGACGGUCCAGGAGGUGACGGAGCCGGGGCUGACGGUCCAGGCAGUGAUGGCCCCAGUGCUGAUAGUCCAGGAGGUGACGGAGCUAGGGCUGAAGGUCCAGGAGGUGAUGGAGCCAGAGCUGAUGGUCUAGGAGGAGAGAGAGCCAGGACUUGACGGUCCAGGAG